UGGGGCGCAGCAGGCGAGAAAACUUUGCAAUGUGCGAAAGCACGACAAGGUUAAUCCGAGUGGUUUCUGCUAAAGGAACCUUUUGUUAGUCCUAGAAACACUAACGAAUAAGGGGUGGGUAAGGACGGUGCCAGCCGCCGCGGUAAUACCUGCGCCUCAAGUGGUAGUCGAUUUUAUUGGGCCUAAAACGUCCGUAGCCUGUUUGGUACAUUCGUGGGUAAAUCAACCAGCUCAACUGAUUGAAUUCUGCGAGCACGGCCAGACUUGGGACCGGGAGAGGUGUGGGGUACGCUCAGGGUAGGGGUAAAAUCCUGUCAUCCUAAGCGGACCACCUGUUGCGAAGGCGCCACACUAGAACGGAUCCGACGGUCAGGGACGAAGCCUAGGGGCACGAACCGGAUUAGAUACCCGGGUAGUCCUAGGUGUAAACGCUGUGGACUUGGUGUUGGGGAUUCUCCGAGGAUUCUCAGUGCCGAAGCGAAGGUGAUAAGUCCACUGCCUGGGGAGUACGGUCGCAAGGCUGAAACUUAAAGGAAUUGGCGGGGGAGCACCGCAACCUGAGGAUUGUGCGGUUUAAUUGGAUUCAACGCCGGAAAACUCACCAGUGCCGACGGACAUAUGAAAGCCAGCGUGAUGAGCUUGCUGGAUUGUUCGAGAGGUAGUGCAUGGCCGCCGUCAGUUCGUACCGUAAGGCGUUCUGUUAAGUCAGAUAACGAACGAGACCCUCAUCCCUAUUUGCUAAGGUCAGUCCGCUGAUCACAGGACUAUAGGGAGACCGCUGGCGCGAAGUCAGAGGAAGGCGAGGGCAACGGUAGGUCAGUAUGCUCCGAAUGCACUGGGCUACACGCGCAAUACAAAGGACGGGACAAUGGGCCGCUGCGCCGAGAGGCAUGUGGCUAUCCCGAAACCCGUUCGUAGUUCGGAUUGAGGGCUGUAACUCGCCCUCAUGAAGCUGGAUUAGGUAGUAAUCGCGUCUCAAAAAGGCGCGGUGAAUAUGCCCCUGCUCCUUGCACACACCGCCCGUCAAACCAUCUUAGUUGGGGGUGGGUGAGGCUGCCUUCUAG
rnacentral:rRNA from 1 species